CAGUCGCCGCGGGAAUACGGAGGGUGCAAGCGUUACUCGGAAUUACUGGGCGUAAAGCGUGCGUAGGUGGUGGUUUAAGUCCGUUGUGAAAGCCCUGGGCUCAACCUGGGAAUUGCAGUGGAUACUGGGUCACUAGAGUGUGGUAGAGGAUAGUGGAAUUUCCGGUGUAGCAGUGAAAUGCGUAGAGAUCGGAAGGAACAUCUGUGGCGAAGGCGACUAUCUGGGCCAACACUGACACUGAGGCACGAAAGCGUGGGGAGCAAACAGGAUUAGAUACCCGCGUAGUCCCUGUCUCUUAUAC
rnacentral:rRNA from 1 species